rnacentral:tRNA from 1 species
UGGAGGGGUAGCGAAGUCUGGCUAAACGCGGUGGACUGUAAAUCCACUCUUUCGGGUUCGGAGGUUCGAAUCCUCUCCCCUCCAUC